rnacentral:rRNA from 1 species
UACGUAGGUGGCAAGCGUUGUCCGGAUUUACUGGGCGUAAAGCGUGCGCAGGCGGCUUACUAAGACAGGUGUGAAAGCCCCGAGCUUAACUUGGGAAUGGCGCUUGUGACUGGUAGGCUGGAGUGUGGCAGAGGGAGGUGGAAUUCCACGUGUAGCAGUGAAAUGCGUAGAGAUGUGGAGGAACACCGAUGGCGAGGGCAGCCUCCUGGGCCAGCACUGACGCUCAUGCACGAAAGCGUGGGGAGCAAACAGG